GAUGGGAAAGAGUAACCCCAGCGACCUUCACUGGGUUUCAGCAACAACCCUGAUUGCCUAACAUCCUGUGCAAAGCUGAAGUGAGAGCAAACUGUUCGAAGAGCACUUGUAUGAAGUGCACAGAGGGCAUCAGACAAUGACUGUGAUACAGCCACCACUCGGCAGCUGUGCAGGCUGUCACGGCAGAGACAGUAGCACCAAUGUGGCAGCCUGCUGCUGCCGCCGCCGACGCCACCACCGGGUACACCUGGAAGAGGUUGAUGGCACACAUAAGCUGCUGGAGGAGACCUUCCAUCUGAUCAUCAAGCGUGAGGAUGUCGAAAAGAUCCUGAAACUCCAGAGUGAUGACAUCUUUGACCACAAGCCAUUCUUUCCUUGUUUCAGUUAAAAAAAUCAUCGCUGAACUAAAAAUAACGCAUAAUAAAUCAUGAAA